GCCCGGCUAGCUCAAUCGGUAGAGCGUGAGACUCUUAACUCACGUUUCCCCCACCGGGUCAUGUGAGAGGGUUCAUCUCAAGGUUGUGGGUUCGACCCCCACGUCGGGCU